GAAAGAUAGGAAUACUGGUUCAAGCGAAAGGUUCGUUUAUUAAUUUGUAUCAUUGUUUAACAUCUCUGUAUGAUAUCAAUAUAUGUUUCUCACUUUCAACCUGUAAAGUUUGCCGAAGCAUACAUAAACGGUGAAGGCCCCAACCCGUACUACCGUAUUACAUAGGAUCCCACGAAAAUAAACAUAUCUACGCAAGGACCUCAUUCUGAUUUUACUGGUUUGCGGUAGAAAUGUAUAUAAAAAGUUUGACACGACCUCCGGAAAUAGAAGAAAAGAAAAAUUAAGAAAAGACAAUUAAAAAUCGCUGGCAAAAGUAGAAAUUCUUGUUUUCAAAAUCUUAUAUUGGUCGGUGAGCUAUUAUUGAGUCAAUGAAUAGAAGCUCGCAGAUUUCUUGUUAAUUAUAGUGAUUACAAAUUGUCAGGAGUGGAUUUAUGCGGGUUAAGCUUGAAACUUAAAUUUCUCGCUAAUUUUACCACAAAAUAUUUAUUUCUCGCCACGCUUGGCAAGAUAUCUACAUUGCACCCUCUCUAGAAGAAUAUUUCAAUAAUUUCGAUAAUAAUACCUCCAAAAAAAAUUCGCCUCGCUCCGCUCGGCAGAAAUUUAAGUUUGCGCCCCCCUAACCGAAAAUCCUGGAUCCGCC
rnacentral:lncRNA from 1 species